rnacentral:rRNA from 1 species
GAUGAACGCUGGCGGCGUGCCUAAUACAUGCAAGUCGAGCGAACGGACGAGAAGCUUGCUUCUCUGAUGUUAGCGGCGGACGGGUGAGUAACACGUGGAUAACCUACCUAUAAGACUGGGAUAACUUCGGGAAACCGGAGCUAAUACCGGAUAAUAUUUUGAACCGCAUGGUUCAAAAGUGAAAGACGGUCUUGCUGUCACUUAUAGAUGGAUCCGCGCUGCAUUAGCUAGUUUGUAAGGUAACGGCUUACCAAGGCAACGAUGCAUAGCCGACCUGAGAGGGUGGUCGGCCACACUGGAACUGAGACACGGUCCAGACGCCUACGGGAGGCAGCAGUAGGGAAUCUUCCGCAAUGGGCGAAAGCCUUGCGGAGCAACGCCGCGUGAGUGAUGAAGGUCUUCGGAUCGUAAAACUCUGUUAUUAGGUAAGAACAUAUGUGUAAGUAACUGUGCACAUCUUGACGGUACCUAAUCAGAAAGCCACGGCUAACUACGUG